rnacentral:rRNA from 1 species
AUGAACGCUGGCGGUGUGUCUAACACAUGCAAGUCGAACGGGUCGCAAGAUCCGUGGCAAACGGGUGAGUAAUAUGUUGGAACCUGCCCAAAAGUAGGAAAUAGUCCUUAGAAAUAAGGGGUAAUGUCCUAUAGUCCCGCAAGUGUAAAGCCGCAAGGCGCUUUUGGAGGGUCCUGCAUCCUAUCAGCUUGUUGGUGAGGUAACGGCUUACCAAGGCUAUGACGGGUAGCUGGUCUGAGAGGACGGUCAGCCACAAGGAGACUGAGAAACGGCUCCUACUCCUACGGGAGGCAGCAGUGAAGAAUAUUUCGCAAUGGGCGAAAGCCUGACGAAGCGACACCGCGUGAACGAUGAAGGGCGUAAGCUUGUAAAGUUCUUUUCUGGGGGAAGAAUUUCGACGGUACCCCAGGAAUCAGCGACGGCUAACUACGU